CACCGCGGUAAUUCCAGCUCCAAUAGCGUAUAUUAAAGUUGUUGCAGUUAAAAAGCUCGUAGUUGAACUUCGGGGUUUACCCAUUGGUCAGGCUUAAUUGUCUGUACUGGUGAGAUAAAUCUCUACCUUCUGAGGAACUUUCAUGUCAUUAAUUUGGUGUGAUUGGAAAUCAGGACUGUUACUUUGAAAAAAUUAGAGUGUUUAAAGCAGGCUAACGUCUGAAUACAUUAGCAUGGAAUAAUGAAAUAGGACGGACUGAUUCUAUUUCGUUGGUUUCUAGGAUCACCGUAAUGAUUAAUAGGGAUAGUUGGGGGCAUUAGUAUUCAAUUGUCAGAGGUGAAAUUCUUGGAUUUAUUGAAGACUAACUACUGCGAAAGCAUUUGCCAAGGAUGUUUUCAUUAAUCAAGAACGAAAGUUAGGGGAUCGAAGACGAUCAGAUACCGUCGUAGUCUUAACCAUAAACUAUGCCGACUAGGGAUCGGACGAAGUUAAUUUUAUAAUGACGCGUUCGGCACCUUACG
rnacentral:misc_RNA from 1 species